GCUCACAGAAAUCUUCAUCACGCUAUCCUUCCUGUUCUUCUCUCUCAAACAAGCGGAAAAAUUAGGCGGGAUUUUGAGAGAAAAGAGAGGAGUCCUAUUUAGGAUUCUUCUCAACCCAAAAGAGAUGGACAACAAUAUAAACUCAUCAGAACAUCAACUUCUCUGUUCAAUCUUCAUCUCGAAGGUUCUUUCUCCUUAACUGACGUUGCUGAUUGAAGGUGUUUCAAACACAUCCACCAAAACGAUGACAUUUCAAGCUCUACAAGUCAAGGCUUCCUCUACCCCUGCUGAAUUGAAAAGAAAGCGUGGAAAAACUAUUGGAAAAUGUAUAAUUCAAAUGAUUGCUAGGAAUGGCAACGAGAAGAUGGAGAUAAUAUUUGACCGGAUGCAUUGGGUCCCUAUUACUAAAUACAUGUAUAGUAAGUUCACUACCUCUAUAGGAAUUCAGGUUCGAAGUCAAGCUCCGGUAUGUUACUGUGGGUGGAAUAAGAUUCCAACAGAUAUUAAGAAGACAUUGAGAGAGGGAUUAACAGUAAGUUAAUUAUUUUUUUCAACAAAUAUUUAGUCUUGCAUUUUGUAUUUUCGACAACUAUGCUGAUUUGACAUAUCUUUAUAAAGA